CCUACGGGGCGCAGCAGUGAGGAAUAUUGGUCAAUGGGCGGGAGCCUGAACCAGCCAAGUCGCGUGAGGGACGACGGUCCUAUGGAUUGUAAACCUCUUUUGUCGGGGAACAAAGGCGCCCACGGGUGGGCGGAUGAGUGUACCCGAAGAAAAAGCAUCGGCUAACUACGGGCCAGCAGCGGCGGUAAUACGGAGGAGGCGAGCGUUAUCCGGAUUUGUUGGGUUUAAAGGGUGCGUAGGCGGACAGUCAAGUCAGCGGUAAAAAUGCGGUGCUCAAGGCCGUCGUGCCGUUGAAACUGAUGUUCUUGAGUGGGCGAGAAGUAUGCGGAAUGCGUGGUGUAGCGGUGCAAUGCAUAGAUAUCACGCAGAACUCCGAUUGCGAAGGCAGCAUACCGGCGCCCAACUGACGCUGAAGCACGAAAGCGUGGGUAUCGAACAGGAUUAGAUACCCUUGUAGUC
rnacentral:rRNA from 1 species